CUGUCGUGUCCGCCUCUGCACUGGGAUUCCUCCAGCCCCAGCAAGUCCCUCAGGUGGUCCCAGCCUCUGUGUCCGCCUCUGCUCUCCCAGAGCGCCUCAGGCAGAGCAGCCAGGAUGGGGACCAGGCCCGCCUUACCGGGAAUGAGCCUGUCACCUGCUCCUCCCACCCCGCAGCAGCCUCUGUCGGGCUGACAGUGACUUCAGGAAUGCUCUCCUCCUGCCGCACUCUGGACCUGUUGGCCAUGCUGUUCAACUUAGCAAAUGUUCUUCCUCACCGCCAACCACAGUGGCCAGGUGCAAGUCCCUCUUGGACAACCUCAGCCCUGGAUACACCGCCUUAUUUACCACUUCAAAGGCCCAUCUGCCGACAAGACCACUGCCACCCUCUGCCACCCUCCACCACCCUCCGCCAGGUCACCAGAAUGCCAGGCCUCACUCAUGAUCAGCUGAGCACCAGCAGGCAGGUGAGAAGAGCCUCCAGUGUGGAGCAGGUCAACCAGCAACAGAGCCAGGGAGACCCAUGGAGUCCAGAGAAAACGGUAACAACGGCAGCAGCACCCAGAGACUGGCUCCCAGUGAGUUAAGCCCAGCCGCGACCCUUGGAUGUGCCAGCUGAUUUAAUACUCAUGAUAAACCCAGUAGAUGUGCAUAUAUCACUUCAAAAAAACAAAAGUGGAUGUGGCUGAUGCCAAAGUGACCUGCCCCAGAAGAGCUGCUAACAGAACAGCAUCCCAGGAGGCUGCAGAAGGCUGAAGAGCAGAGCCCACACCUGCUAUGGGCCACAAGAGGCCCUGGAUGCCAUGGAGGCCGCAAGGGCCCAGGCGGGACUUGCAGAAUGAGAGUCCUAGGCCCAAGUAUAGAGUCCCUGGUGGGCACAGAGGAGAGACCAGCACCUCCUCGGUGCCAGGCGCUGCUGCAGCCUCUAGGAAAUCAACCGUGGAAACACACGGACCCUGCCCUCCCGGCGCCAGUGUUCUGGUGGUCAGGAGGUGAAGAAAACCAGCAAGAACCAGCACAGGAAUCCGACGGUGGCAGCGCCGAGAGAAACAAGCUUGGAGGGGAAGGAGAGCUACAGAGGCUGCAUGGAUGUGAUGGUUGGAGUGGAAGCUGACAUUGUGGGCCAGGAGACCCUGGGAGUACAGGCCAAGAUGAAAAGAGCCUCAAUCCAGAGCGUUCUGUGAAGCAGUCACCACGGCCACCCUGGGCCAUCAGCUUCUGGACUUUUACAACAUAGAAAUUAAAUUUCCAUUGAAUUUGUUGGA
rnacentral:lncRNA from 1 species